UCUCCCCAGGGACCCCCGGGAGAGGCUGGAUGGGCCCGGCCACGCCCCCCCAGGUUGCUGAUCUCCCCAGGGACCCCUGGGAGAGGC